CGGUGUUCAACUGGCGUGUCCGCGGGACGUCCUGCCGGUGGGCUUAGCCCGCAAGGGCGGCCCAACUUCAAAUCCCAUCGCGGUGCUUUUCACUGAGUGUCGAGGUGGGCCGGCACGUUUACUUUGAACAAAUUGGAGUGCUUAAAGCAGGCUAAAACUUCGCCUGAAUACUGUGUGCAUGGAAUAAUGGAAUAGGAUCUCGGUUCUAUUUUGUUGGUUUUCGGAACCCCGAGGUAAUGAUUAAUAGGAACGGAUGGGGGCAUUCGUAUUGCGACGUUAGAGGUGAAAUUCUUGGAUCGUCGCAAGACGGACAGAAGCGAAAGCAUUUGCCAAAAACGCUUUCAAUGAUCAAGAACGAAAGUUAGAGGAUCGAAGGCGAUCAGAUACCGCCCUAUUUCUAACCAUAAACGAUGCCAGCUAGCGAUCCGUCGACGUUCCUCCGAUGACUCGACGGGCAGCUUCCGGGAAACCAAAGCUUUUGGGUUCCGGGGAAAGUAUGGUUGCAAAGCUGAAACUUAAAGGAAUUGACGGAAGGGCACCACCAGGAGUGGAGCCUGCGGCUUAAUUUGACUCAACACGGGAAACCUCACCAGGCCCGGACACCGGGAAGGAUUGACAGAUUGAGAGCUCUUUCUUGAUUCGGUGGGUGGUGGUGCAUGGCCCGUUCUUAGUUGGUGGAGCGAUUUGUCUGGUUAAUUCCGAUAACGAACAAGACUCUAGCCUGCUAACUAGGCGUAUUUUCGACAUCUCAAAGGUCCGUCGUCCCGGCCCUCGGGUCGUGGGCGUGCGCGAUUUUUACUGUCGGCGUACUAUCAAUUCUUCUUAGAGGGACAGGUGGCUUCUAGCCGCACGAGAUUGAGCAAUAACAGGUCUGUGAUG
rnacentral:rRNA from 1 species